AUGCGAAACCUUUGGUGCAGACCACCGUUGAAGCCUGGAAUCCACUCCAGAGUGACGGAGUCAUGAGUGACAGUGACUUGGCGGAACGAUGAAGGAGGAUCUGGGUGAUCUGAGGACAAAGGGAUGGAAAGCCCGCACCAGCCAUUUCCAGGAGAACAUGCCAGAUAUAAUGGGGUUGGCAUCUGCCACGCAUAUAAGGUCUGCUGUUCCCCCCAGCUUCACAGACACGGGGUCCUUCUCCGCUUUGACACUGGCAGCAUCUGCAGGGAGGAGACGGAGGCGGGAGCAAAGGUUAAUAUGCCGACCUGGGACGAAUCACGUUCCAGCCCAUUAAACACACAUUCUGCUAUAUUACUGUAAUUAUUCUUACAUUUGUUUUGUGUUUUCCUUCCUCUUGUUCAUGAACCCGGCCUAAUUGGCCUCUGUCCCCCAUCCACAGUGCCAUUAACCUCUCUUACGUCGCAUGCUUUUGCAGACUAAACUGCGGACCGGUCGCGCGACCCGUUCAUCAAACAAUCUCGCCUUCCCAGCACCACGGCUCCCGGUAGUUUCUUUGCUUGUCUGGAGCUCAACAAGCCUUUUACACUUCCCACGGGUGCCGUGUACUUCCCGCGCAACAAUGAGGCCAUUAGCAGCAACUAAAUGUACACGUUCACACUUGUGCGUGGUAGGAAACACCAGAGAGACACGGACCUUUGUGUCGACGGGGUCCAAACGCGUUGGUCUGCUAACCAGCAGCGACAUUGUUAAGUGGACUACACUGUCAGCCAUAAAAGCUACCACAAUUCCCCAUACAUAAUGUAAAAUCUACAACUGUCAAGCCCAGUUACGUCAGGAUGGCAGAAUCCAUUAGGACGUACCAUGGGCUUUGGAGAAACAGACGGACCUACAUUUCAACGCGUCCAUAAUUAAAUCAUCAGUAUCGGGGCAGAGGGCCUGGAGCUCCAGGCUGGGCCUGGGGCGGCGGUGGAGGUGCGCGGCCUUGCGUGGAGGCCUAAUGAAUGAGGCACGUGUGCAGCGCCGCCGCUCGGUGCACGUUGAGGCGCAGGCGGUAAACGGGCGGCGGGUUCCACUCCAAGGCGGAGAACACACUGUUGCCGUAUCUACGAGAAGCUGCCGGUGCUUCGUGUUGGAGAGGAGACGGCUUCACGGAGCCAAAUCGUGUCGAUGACCCAGCACCACAGCCCACAGGCAUGUUGGACUUGGACGGCAGCCAGGUAAAAAUAAUUACUGUAAAAGUACACUUUAUAUAAUUUUGUGGCGGGUCUUUUUUUUUUUUUAA